CUGUCUGCGGCGCAUCUGUUUGGGACCACGCACCGUGGCAGGCGUGGGAAGCCAUUGCAGAGCUCGGGUCUCUUGGGAGGCAGACAAAAUCGUACAUGGACAGUGCUGUUUCCUCCCCCUCUUCAAAUAUUGCAGCAGCAAACAUGGGCAGACAUUCCUGGGACGGCAGAGACACACGAUGGAAGAAGCUGUCUCCGAAUCAUCCUUCAUCAACUCAGAGCGCCCAUUUCAUGGAUGUGGAAACUGAGGUCCAGAGACAUCAAUGAGUGAGAAGGGACUGGAGCCUUGGCGUUUAUCUUGACUAUCCUAACUGACCGAAUUCCUCACUUGGGAUCAUUUUAUUCCUUUUUUCCCCCUGUGCCAUUCAGCACGUUCCCACUUUUCAGCCUAGGAGAGAGAAGGGGGGCCAGGCAGGCUGGGUGUAGGAACCUGCUCAGAAUAGAGUCGUUUAAUCAGCGCCUGCUUGUUUUGGCCUUGCCUGAUGGGUGGGCAGAGGAUGUGACUUCAAUACUGACCUUGGGUUCUCCUGGGCUGGGACUGGGCACUGAGGUCUCAGACAGAGCGCCAUUCCUUGGACCAGUGGUCAGGCCACAUAGAACUGUCAGGCUGAGGCUGAGUUCUAAGGAUUUUGUUGGCUGUUGAUAGCCUGGUGGUGAUGGUGGGAGACAAUUAUUUUUUAGCGGGACUGUUGAUGCGUUCCAUUUUUCGAUGCAAUUCACAGAAGGUUCCACUUUCUUUUCUGUUGAUGGUCUCAAGAAAUAGUCAUCGGCUAAUCUUUCCUGGACAUUUGCUGUAUGUUAAGUGCAUAGCCUGCCUCGUCUCAUUUAAUCCGCAUUAAAUGAAUCCACAGA